CGGCAAGCGGCCGCGCCCGGAGCCGGAACCCAACCGACGAGUUCUUCCACCCACGCGACGGCGACACUGCCACCGCGCUCGGAGGCGCUGAAGCCAGCCGAGAGGCGGGGCCCGGCCCCCCGGCGACUAGUAGGCAGCCACAGCCAACCACUCGAAGUGUUCGGUUCCACUUCCACGUUCAGGUAGAGCUCGUCGCCGCAACAUCGACCUUCUCCGUCCAGGUGGAUUUUUUUUUUCUUGAUAUGUCAUUCUUCAAGUCAGAUCUGCUAGUCUAGCACUGUAUGUAUGUUGGUAGUAACUGUUUGCUUCGGAUUAAAGCAACAAGUUUGGACUGCUGCAGCUGUAAUCCAUAGAGACAAAAAUACUGUAGAAGUAGAAGCUGUUACGGAUUAAAACCAAGCGGACAGGCUGGAAACUUUUUUUUUUUUGAACAAAGACAGCAAGGUUCAUGUAGAGGAAUUAUCUCCAUGUGUACCAGACUAGCAGAAUGGAUGUUUUUUGACAUUUUAUUAGUCGUAGUAGCAAAAUCAUGCCCAGCUGAAAAAAAACAGUUGCAAAACUAUGCAUCUGAUCUCUACUGUGAUUCUGGAACUGCCUGUUUACAGUUACAACAUUCAAAAUGAAAAGUGUUAUGCUUGAGCUAAAACUGUUAUACAAAUGAACAAACCUGACUUGUAUUAUCUUGGCAUAUACAACUUGCUUGACACAACACCGGAAUUUGAAUCUCUCUUCUGUAGUCUGUACACUUAAUAUACACAACUAAAAAUCACUCUCCAGCAAGUAAGACCAGAUGUGUGCUGAAUCCUGUGCUCAAUUUAUGCUUCAGCCUUGAGAUAUUGGUGGAGCAGAUGCCUGUGUGGUCAUCUUGCUUCUUAGCUCUUCAAAAGCUUUCAUGCUUUCUGCAUCAAAGCCCCCAGCAAACUGCAGAAGGUAGAGGAAUAAGUUACUGAUUCGAAGCCUUUAAUUUACCUGUAAAGUACCUGGGUUUUGAAUAUAUAGAUGUGAGGAUUUUACCUGAUGAACCCGGAAAGCGAACCUCACACCCUGGAGAAGCAAAAACUCUCUAUUGGGCUCUUUCUCAGUGCCUUCUAAUGCAUCAAGUUCUGAGGCAACCCUCUUCAUAUACUUGUUUGCAAGCUGGACAGAUGCCACUUUGAUCUAUUCCAACACACAAAUAAAAUAUUGAGUUCAUAUAGGUGCAUACUCCAAGUAAAAGCACACCCGCCUUCAUAAGGAAUUAAAAAUGCAUGGUUUCUUUAACACAAGUUUGUCAAAAUUGGAGUGCUUGCUAGAGAUGCAAACCUUGCCAACUACUCCAGAAUCUGACAGCCAGUCAAAUGGGAUCCCGUACUCCUUGUAGCGUGAGACGGUCAUGUCUCUUGUACGGAGUAGUGCAUAGACACUCUGCUCCACUCUGGCAUAUGUAUUGACGCUAGUUAGUACAAUGAAACCAUCACUUUGGGUAAAAUUAUGUUCAUCACAUACAUAUCUUAAACCAGGCAAAAAUAUUGCUGUUUCACUCUGAAGUACUAUGUUAGAGAGAAUACUAGGUAUGAUGAGGACGAGACACUAACUUUUCAAGCAAAGAAUACAUCUUCUUGAGAGCUUCUUCACACGCAAGUUGUGGAUCAUCGGUAAAGGUUGAAACCCUGUUCUGUAGCUUUAUCAGAUCCUGGUACUCAAAAGCUGCUUCUCUUAUUGCAUCUGUUUUGCUCUCUGGCCAAUCAAAAUGUUUUAGCACUGCUCUCUCAUCAACCUAAAAUUUUGUUGAUCCUCUUUAGUACUAGAACAUGUGUCAUAAGUACAAUAAUUGCUACUUCAUGACAGAGGUAUUGUAUGAAGGGCAUGUUCGGGCUGCUUACCAAGAAAGACAACUCCUCAUCCAACCAAUUUACAAAUGCAACAACGUCAUCAAUAUUUAUGAAGCUUGCUGCUCGGACCUCAUUUGCUAGAGAUUCAACAAAUUCUCCUUGUGUCUCCACAUCAGCUUUUACCUGAAACAUUCCAUGUUUUUAUAAAACAUUUGUCACUUUUCAUUAUUGAAAUCUGAUUACUAGUUUUAAUUAUGCAUUAAUAGUGGAACUCAUAAAUUUCACAGGAUUUUUGUUCAAGAUGGUGCCAGCAGAAAAUACUUACAGCUAAGAGGAAUGUUGAUCUGUUCUCAAUCUCUCCAAUCAUAUUACUUCUGGCAUCAGAUACAUUGGAUGAUAUUGA
rnacentral:lncRNA from 1 species